AGGAUUGCUUCCUGUUCUCUGCUUCCAGUGGAGUUUCUGUUCCUUUCUCGGCUGAACUGGUGGAUGAGAAACAGGACUUGGGAGACUUCCUUUUGCCUGCACUAUUACCUCUGUGGAAACAGCGUGACCACUAUGCUAUCACAUAUCAAACCAACCAACAUUUUCCCGAGGAAGGACUACAAUUUGAAGAGCAAAUGUUGCUCUAACAGCAGACCACUUCCUCUCAGCCCAGCACCCAGACCCUCUUGCUUUAUGCAGGGAUGGAGAGCAGAAAGCCUGAAGCUCUCAAAAGGAAGAGAGUGCCCUUCAUAUACUAAUGAACAUUUAAUUGCCUGUAAAGCAUCUCAAGGAACUGAAAACUGUCCAGGUGAAAGAGAAAAACUGUAUUCGGAUGGAGGUGGGAGAGGCAAGUGACUGAAGCCUGGGGCUGUUGGGCAUUUUGAGACAGAGCUCUCAUGGAACAAUGCUCAUCAGGCGAAGAUGGAGUGUUUCAUCCUUCCUCCUAGAUAUAAGCACUAAUGCUCUGAAUUGACCUUCUCAUCCCUUUGUGCUAUUAAAAGUUUUUCCCUCUGCUUUGGUCAUUGCCAAAUACACAUGCUUUCUUGAUCUCAAUUUUCUUUAUCAAUUUUGCCUAAAUUGAUAAUUCUAAUUUCUUAAAAUUAAUAAAACCAUUUUAAUUGG
rnacentral:lncRNA from 7 species